AUUGAACGCUGGCGGCAGGCCUAACACAUGCAAGUCGAACGGUAACAGGAAGAAGCUUGCUUCUUUGCUGACGAGUGGCGGACGGGUGAGUAAUGUCUGGGAAACUGCCUGAUGGAGGGGGAUAACUACUGGAAACGGUAGCUAAUACCGCAUAGCGUCGCAAGACCAAAGAGGGGGACCUUCGGGCCUCUUGCCAUCGGAUGUGCCCAGAUGGGAUUAGCUAGUAGGUGGGGUAACGGCUCACCUAGGCGACGAUCCCUAGCUGGUCUGAGAGGAUGACCGGCCACACUGGAACUGAGACACGGUCCAGACGCCUACGGGAGGCAGCAGUGGCGAAUAUUGCACAAUGGUCGCAAGCCUGAUGCAGCCAUGCCGCGUGUAUGAAGAAGGCCUUCGGGUUGUAAAGUACGUUCAGCGGGGAGGAAGGGAGUAAAGUUAAUACCUUGGCUCAUUGACGUUACCCGCAGAAGAAGCACCGGCUAACUCCGUG
rnacentral:rRNA from 1 species